rnacentral:tRNA from 1 species
GUAAAAGCACGUAAAGUUUUGAUCUUUAAAGAAAUAGUGUAAUUCUAUUAAGUAUAAUGAAUAAAAAA